AUUGAACGCUGGCGGCAGGCCUAACACAUGCAAGUCGAGCGGAUGAAGGGAGCUUGCUCCUGGAUUCAGCGGCGGACGGGUGAGUAAUGCCUAGGAAUCUGCCUGGUAGUGGGGGAUAACGUCCGGAAACGGGCGCUAAUACCGCAUACGUCCUGAGGGAGAAAGUGGGGGAUCUUCGGACCUCACGCUAUCAGAUGAGCCUAGGUCGGAUUAGCUAGUUGGUGGGGUAAAGGCCUACCAAGGCGACGAUCCGUAACUGGUCUGAGAGGAUGAUCAGUCACACUGGAACUGAGACACGGUCCAGACUCCUACGGGAGGCAGCAGUGGGGAAUAUUGGACAAUGGGCGAAAGCCUGAUCCAGCCAUGCCGCGUGUGUGAAGAAGGUCUUCGGAUUGGAAAGCACUUUAAGUUGGGAGGAAGGGCAGUAAGUUAAUACAUUGCUGUUUUGACGUUACCAACAGAAUAAGCACCGGCUAACUUCGUG
rnacentral:rRNA from 1 species